rnacentral:lncRNA from 1 species
GGCGUAUAGUUAAGAUGGUAUUGGACUCUUAUGGCCGAAACGUUGUUUUUUUCAGUUUUUUCAAAAAUUUGUAAUACAAAUUCUUUGUAUUUUUUUUUAUAGUUUUUUUUUUUUAUUCCGCCCUCAUCCAAUUCAGUUAAUGCGUUGGCCCCUCUAGGCCCCUCUUUUAGAAGAAAGAAAUCUUAAUCAUUAUUGGGCUCAGGCUUAACAC